rnacentral:rRNA from 1 species
ACAAUGAAGAGUUUGAUCCUGGCUCAGGAUGAGCGCUAGCUACAGGCUUAACACAUGCAAGUCGAGGGGCAGCGGGAUUGAAGCUUGCUUCAAUUGCCGGCGACCGGCGCACGGGUGAGUAACGCGUAUCCAACCUUCCGUUUACUCGGGGAUAGCCUUUCGAA